rnacentral:rRNA from 1 species
UUAAUUAAGGUAUAUAGUGGAUGUCUUGACAUUAGAAGCCGAGGAAGGACGUAGUAGCCUGCGAUAAGCUUCGGGGAGCUGGCAAACAAGCUUUGAUCCGGAGAUUUCCGAAUGGGGAAACCCAAUAUUGCAAAACAAUAUUACCUGCCCAAAUUUUUGCACUUUAUAUGGAGUGUAAAAAUUUGGGCGGGGGGAAACCCGCUGAACUGAAACAUCUUAGUAAGCGGAGGAAAAGAAAACAAAUGUGAUUCCCUAAGUAGUGGCGAACGAAAAGGGAAAAGUCUAAACUUUCUUAAUGUUAAAGGCCAUAAACCGUUGUUAAGAAAGGGUUAUAAGAAAAUUAUGUUUAACGUUAUGGCGUUGAGAUAAGGUUAAUAAUUUUUCUAGCUGAGUGGUCUGGAAAGUCCAACCAAAGAAGGUGAUAGUCCUGUAGGCGAAAGAAAUUUUAUUCUUUAUGAUAAUUUUCUUGAGUAUCACGGAACACGUGAAAUUCUGUGAGAAGUUAGCGCGACUAUGCGUUAAGACUAAAUACUUCUAAUGAUCGAUAGCGAACAAGUACCGUGAGGGAAAGAUUAAAAGCAUCCCGGUAAGGGAGAUGAAAUAGUAUCUGAAACUAUAUACUUACAAAGAGUUGGAGCUUCGUGUCUCACUAAUGUUCGACACGGAAUUUUCAAUUUUCAAUUUUUAAUUUUCUCCGCCAGCUGGCGGAUUCAAUUUUUAAUUUUUAAUACUUAACUAAUUUAGUUUAAGUGUUUAAAAAUUAGAAAUUGUGAUUUGUUUAGAAAUUAGAAAUUAGAAAUUAGAAAUUUCUCGUGGCGAGUGAUAGCGAGACACGGGGUGACAGCGUGCCUAUUGAAGAAUGAGCCAACGAGUGUUCAAUGCUUUUUUGUUUAAGUCAUUUUAUGACGAAGGCAAAGUGAAAGCGAGCCUGAAUAGGGCGAAUCUCAUGUUUACAUGAGAAGAAAGGCGUUGAAUGACCCGAAACCAGGUGAUCUAUCCAUGGUCAGGAUGAAGCGUUUGUAAAAAAACGUGGAGGUCCGAACCCACUAGCCGUGCAACACUAGGGGAUGAAUUGUGGAUAGCGGAGAAAUUCUAAUCGAACCUGGAAAUAGCUGGUUCUCCUCGAAAUAGUUUUAGGACUAGCCUUGUAUAGAAGACUUAGGGGUAGAGCACUGAAUGAGAUGAGGGGGUUUACCCUACUCAUUUCAACCAAACUCCGAAUACUAAGUUGAAUUGUACAAGAGUCAGACUAUGGGGUCUAAGCUCCAUUAGUCAAAAGGGAAACAGCCCAGAUUCCAAUCUAAGGUCUCUAAAUUUUCCUAAUUUAUUUAGGAUCCUUUAUAUUUUUAAUAUAAAGGAAGGUUAAGUGUAAAAAGUGGUGAAUUAACUUAAACAAUUAGGAGGUUGGCUUAGAAGCAGCCAUCCUUUAAAGAAAGCGUAAUAGCUCACUAAUUUAGUUGAUUUGCGCUGAAAAUUUAUCGAGGCUUAAACCUAAUACCGAAGAUGGAAAAUUUUAUGCUUUGCAUAAGAUUGGUAGAGGAGCUUUCUAUAAGCACUGAAGUUUUUUCGUAAGGAAAGAUGGAGUUUAUAGAAGUGAGAAUGUUGGCAUAAGUAACAAAAACUCUGAAGAGAAUUCAGAGCACCGAAAACCCAAGGUUUCCUAGGCAAUGGCAAUCAUCCUAGGGUUAGUCGAUCCUAAGGCAAGCCUCAAUUUAGGUUGAGGGUAGUCGAUGGAAGAAUAGGUUAAUAUUCCUAUACUUUAUUAUUUUUCUCAAGAAUUGACAUAUUUUCAAGCUUUAUGCGCGCUUUGGAUAUGCGCGUUCCUCAAUUUUCAAAGUUGGGGAGGAAACGAAGCCUUCAAGCAGAGUGAACUUAAGGGGAGAGGGUAUCAAGAAAAGAUUCAAGAGGUUAAGGAUAAUAAAUCCGUACCAAAACCAACACAGGUGGGUAAGGCGAGAAGCCUAAGGUGGACGAGAGAACCUUCGUUUAGGAACUCGGCAAAACAACGUGCGUAACUUCGGGAUAAGCACUUCCCAAUUAAUUUUGGGACUCAGUAAAAGAUUCCAAGUGACUGUUUAUCAAAAACUUAGGUCCCUGCUAACUCGCAAGAGGAGAUAUAGGGGCUGAUGCCUGGCCAGUGUCAGAACGUUAAAAGGAUUUGUCAACUUCGAUGUCAUGUCGGAGAGUAGCAGAGAAUUGAAGCGCUGAUGAACGCCGGCGAUAACUAUAAUCGUCCUAUGGUAGCGAAAUUCCUUGUCGUGUGAGUUACGACCCGCACGAAUGGCAUAACAACUUGGAAACUCUCUCAACGAAGGACUCGGUGAAAUUGCAAUGUGAGUAAAGAUGCUCACUAGUCACAGCUAGACGAAAAGACCCCAUGAAGCUUUACUACAACUUGAUAUUGGAUUGAGGUUAAAUAUGUUCAGAAUAGGUGGGAGAUCGUGUUCUGCUGACGCAGAACACUAAAUUCAAAAUUAAAAAUUAAAAAUUAAAAGUUUUGGUAUAAAUUUUUUAAGAAAAAAAUUUAUGAUUUUAAAAAUAAAAAUCAUUUCGCUUUGCGAAAUACCUUAAUUUUGAACUUUACAUUUUAAACUUUGAAUUUAGACCGCGUCAGCAGGACGCGGUCAACAGUGAGAUACCACCCUUGUUUAGUUUUAAUUCUAAUCUGUUAUUUAACUAACGGAAACAGUAUCUGGUGGGUAGUUUAACUGGGGCGGUUGCCUCCCAAAAAGUAACGGAGGCGUUUACAAAGGUUGGCUAGAUCCGGAUAGAAAUCGGAUUGAUUGUGUAAAGGCAUAAGCCAGCUUUACUGAAAGACCUACAAGUCAAUCAGUCUCGAAAGAGGAACUUAGUGAUCCGACCAUCCUAUAUAGGAAGGUGGAAGCUCAACGGAUAAAAGCUACUCUGGGGAUAACAGGCUUAUCAGGCCCAAGAGUUCAUAUCGACGGCCUGGUUUGGCACCUCGAUGUCGGCUCAUCGCAUCCUGGGGGUGAAGAAGCUCCCAAGGGUUUGGCUGUUCGCCAAUUAAAGCGGUACGCGAGCUGGGUUCAGAACGUCGCGAGACAGUUCGGUCUCCUAUCUGCUGUGAACGUCGAAAUUUGAGAAAACUCUUCCCUAGUAUGAGAAGACCGGGAAGAACGAACCUCUAGUGGUCCAGUUGUCCACCAAGGGCAUUGCUGGGUAGCUACGUUCGGCAGGGAUAAACGCUGAAAGCAUAUAAGCGUGAAGCCUUUUUCAAGAUUAAAUUUCUUUUAGAUCGGUCAGAGACUAUGACCUUGAUAGGCUCUAGGUGUAAGUCCAGUAAUGGAUUGAGCCGAGGAGUACUAAUAGAUCGAAUAUUUAU